UUUAAACUAAUUUUUAUCCACUUCACCGGAAUAUUACCCGUCCUACUUCUAAUGAUAGAUAGAAAAGAUUGGAGAGGGGUUGAGGGAUGACAAAGGUACAAAAACUAAAUGACAUACGUAUGUUAAAUGAUAGGCACAUAUAUAUAUUAGAUUGUUGAAUCCCCUUAACAUAGGUUCAUUUAAAAGCUAAGGCAAAAUUAACUUAGUUCAAUAUACCCAAAAAAAUAUCAAGAAAAUUAUAUAAUAGCAUGUAUAACAACUAUUACGCCUCAGUCCCUAACAAGUUGAGGUCGACUAUAUAAGCUUCACAACAUGUAUAACAACUACCAUGCUUCAGUCCCUAACAAGUUAGAGGUCGACUAUAUAAGCUUCACAACAUGUAUAACAACUACCAUGCCUCAAUCCAUAACAAGUUGAGGUCGACUAUAUACGCUUCACAACAUGUAUAACAACUACUAGUCCCUGACAGGUUGAGGUCGACUAUAUAAGCUUUACAACAUGUAUAACAACUACUACGCCUCAGUCCCUGACAAGUUGAGGUCAACUAUAUAAGCUUCACAACAUGUAUAACAACUAUUACGCCUCAGUCCCUAACAAGUUGAGGUCGACUAUAUGAGGUUCACAACGUGUAUAUAUGCAAAUAGUAAUAUGUA
rnacentral:lncRNA from 1 species